rfam:Pteropus alecto contig86105, whole genome shotgun sequence.
GGUUCCAUAGUGUAGCAAUUAGCACGUCUGCUUUACGCACAGAAGGUCCUGGGUUCACGUCCCAGUGGAGCCA